CGAAGUGAAUAGACAAGCUUUAUUAAUUCCAAAAGGCAAUUACAGAAACUGAACAAAAUAAAUAUAAACUGAUUUCCUUCAGUUCAUUCAUUUUUGGCUACUCCGUUUACAUUAAUACGUAUGGUACAAUUAUUGAAAUAUGGACAGGACAUGAAUUCACAACUACUUGCUGAAGUACCAACUUCUACAGGAGUUUCUGACACCUCUUUACUCAAAGAAACAUUACUUGUAGGGCUGCACUUAGGUGCCAAUAUAUCUGAAACCUCAGUAGACUUCAUUUCACUAACCUAGCUUCUCAUAUUUAAACAACGCAUUCGAUCUGUGACCAGCACGGUCCCUAAUUAACUUCUCUUCGACACCUGCGUUAAAUAAUGCUAAUUACUCUAAAACAAUAC